GACGUAGGGCGCGAGCGUUGUCCGGAUUUAUUGGGCGUAAAGAGCUCGUAGGCGGCUUGUCGCGUCGACUGUGAAAACCCGCGGCUCAACCGCGGGCCUGCAGCCGAUACGGGCAGGCUAGAGUUCGGUAGGGGAGACUGGAAUUCCUGGUGUAGCGGUAAAAUGCGUAGAUAUUACUAGGAACACCAAUGGCGAAGGCAGCUUACUGGGCUAUAUUUGACGCUGAGAAACGAAAGCGUGGGGAGCGAACAGG
rnacentral:rRNA from 1 species